UAAAAGCUAAUGUUAGUCAAAGUUAUCCUUUAUGUGCAUUAUUUAGCAACUUGGCUGAUGUGACAGUUCUUUGCUUUGGCAACUUUAACCACAUGUCUUCAUGUGUUAGCCUACGAAACAUGGUGGGUAUUACAAAGUUGGCUAAUGAAGACAUGCUACGUGUGGAGGAUGAUAAUGAGGACCAGCCACCAGAGAAAGAAGUCCCUGUUUGACCAAAGAGAAAGAAGCAGAUGAAAUAUUCCUAAAGAAAAUUAGUGACCACCAUAAAUUGAGUCAUCACCGACUAUGAGAAUGUCCAGAAGAGAUUCACCAAGUUUGAAUUCAU